UAUUAGGAGAAAUUGCUAGUGGAAAUUUGU
rnacentral:piRNA from 1 species